rnacentral:rRNA from 1 species
GACGAACGCUGGCGGCGUGCUUAACACAUGCAAGUCGAGCGAACAGACGAGGAGCUUGUUCUUCUGACGUUAGAGGCGCACGGGGGAGUGACACGUGGAUAACACACCUAUCCGACUGGGAUAUAUUCGGGAAACCGGAGCUAAUACCGGAUAAUAUAUUGAACCGCAUGGUUCAAUGGUGAAAGACGGUUUUGCUUUCACUUAUGGAUGGAUCCGCGCCGGUUUAGCUGGUUGGUAGGGUAACGGCUUACCAAGGCGACGAUGCGUAGCCGACCUGAGUGGGGGGUCGACCACACCAGAGCUGCGACACGGACCAGACUCCUACGAGAGGCAGCAGAAGGGAAUCUGACGCAAUAGGCGGAAGCCUGACGGAGCAGCGCCGCGUGAGUGAUGAAGGUCUUCGGAUCGUAAUACUCUGCUAUUGGGGGUGAACAAAUGUGGAAGUAACUGUGCACGGCUUGACGGUACCUGAUCAAGAAGCCACGGCUAACUACGUG